UCAGCGACUUAUAUUCUGUAGCAAGGUUAACCGAAUAGGGGAGCCGAAGGGAAACCGAGUCUUAACUGGGCGUUAAGUUGCAGGGUAUAGACCCGAAACCCGGUGAUCUAGCCAUGGGCAGGUUGAAGGUUGGGUAACACUAACUGGAGGACCGAACCGACUAAUGUUGAAAAAUUAGCGGAUGACUUGUGGCUGGGGGUGAAAGGCCAAUCAAACCGGGAGAUAGCUGGUUCUCCCCGAAAGCUAUUUAGGUAGCGCCUCGUGAAUUCAUCUCCGGGGGUAGAGCACUGUUUCGGCAAGGGGGUCAUCCCGACUUACCAACCCGAUGCAAACUGCGAAUACCGGAGAAUGUUAUCACGGGAGACACACGGCGGGUGCUAACGUCCGUCGUGAAGAGGGAAACAACCCAGACCGCCAGCUAAGGUCCCAAAGUCAUGGUUAAGUGGGAAACGAUGUGGGAAGGCCCAGACAGCCAGGAUGUUGGCUUAGAAGCAGCCAUCAUUUAAAGAAAGCGUAAUAGCUCACUGGUCGAGUCGGCCUGCGCGGAAGAUGUAACGGGGCUAAACCAUGCACCGAAGCUGCGGCAGCGACACUGUGUGUUGUUGGGUAGGGGAGCGUUCUGUAAGCCUGUGAAGGUGUGCUGUGAGGCAUGCUGGAGGUAUCAGAAGUGCGAAUGCUGACAUAAGUAACGAUAAAGCGGGUGAAAAGCCCGCUCGCCGGAAGACCAAGGGUUCCUGUCCAACGUUAAUCGGGGCAGGGUGAGUCGACCCCUAAGGCGAGGCCGAAAGGCGUAGUCGAUGGGAAACAGGUUAAUAUUCCUGUACUUGGUGUUACUGCGAAGGGGGGACGGAGAAGGCUAUGUUGGCCGGGCGACGGUUGUCCCGGUUUAAGCGUGUAGGCUGGUUUUCCAGGCAAAUCCGGAAAAUCAAGGCUGAGGCGUGAUGACGAGGCACUACGGUGCUGAAGCAACAAAUGCCCUGCUUCCAGGAAAAGCCUCUAAGCAUCAGGUAACAUCAAAUCGUACCCCAAACCGACACAGGUGGUCAGGUAGAGAAUACCAAGGCGCUUGAGAGAACUCGGGUGAAGGAACUAGGCAAAAUGGUGCCGUAACUUCGGGAGAAGGCACGCUGAUAUGUAGGUGAAGUCCCUCGCGGAUGGAGCUGAAAUCAGUCGAAGAUACCAGCUGGCUGCAACUGUUUAUUAAAAACACAGCACUGUGCAAACACGAAAGUGGACGUAUACGGUGUGACGCCUGCCCGGUGCCGGAAGGUUAAUUGAUGGGGUCAGCGCAAGCGAAGCUCUUGAUCGAAGCCCCGGUAAACGGCGGCCGUAACUAUAACGGUCCUAAGGUAGCGAAAUUCCUUGUCGGGUAAGUUCCGACCUGCACGAAUGGCGUAAUGAUGGCCAGGCUGUCUCCACCCGAGACUCAGUGAAAUUGAACUCGCUGUGAAGAUGCAGUGUACCCGCGGCAAGACGGAAAGACCCCGUGAACCUUUACUAUAGCUUGACACUGAACAUUGAGCCUUGAUGUGUAGGAUAGGUGGGAGGCUUUGAAGUGUGGACGCCAGUCUGCAUGGAGCCGACCUUGAAAUACCACCCUUUAAUGUUUGAUGUUCUAACGUGGACCCGUGAUCCGGGUUGCGGACAGUGUCUGGUGGGUAGUUUGACUGGGGCGGUCUCCUCCUAAAGAGUAACGGAGGAGCACGAAGGUUGGCUAAUCCUGGUCGGACAUCAGGAGGUUAGUGCAAUGGCAUAAGCCAGCUUGACUGCGAGCGUGACGGCGCGAGCAGGUGCGAAAGCAGGUCAUAGUGAUCCGGUGGUUCUGAAUGGAAGGGCCAUCGCUCAACGGAUAAAAGGUACUCCGGGGAUAACAGGCUGAUACCGCCCAAGAGUUCAUAUCGACGGCGGUGUUUGGCACCUCGAUGUCGGCUCAUCACAUCCUGGGGCUGAAGUAGGUCCCAAGGGUAUGGCUGUUCGCCAUUUAAAGUGGUACGCGAGCUGGGUUUAGAACGUCGUGAGACAGUUCGGUCCCUAUCUGCCGUGGGCGCUGGAGAACUGAGGGGGGCUGCUCCUAGUACGAGAGGACCGGAGUGGACGCAUCACUGGUGUUCGGGUUGUCAUGCCAAUGGCACUGCCCGGUAGCUAAAUGCGGAAGAGAUAAGUGCUGAAAGCAUCUAAGCACGAAACUUGCCCCGAGAUGAGUUCUCCCUGACCCUUUAAGGGUCCUGAAGGAACGUUGAAGACGACGACGUUGAUAGGCCGGGUGUGUAAGCGCAGCGAUGCGUUGAGCUAACCGGUACUAAUGAACCGUGAGGCUUAACCUU
rnacentral:rRNA from 1 species